rnacentral:rRNA from 1 species
GAAUCAGUGUGUGUGUUAGUGGAAGCGUCUGGAAAGGCGCGCGAUACAGGGUGACAGCCCCGUACACAAAAAUGCACAUAUUGUGAGCUCGAUGAGUAGGGCGGGACACGUGGUAUCCUGUCUGAAUAUGGGGGGACCAUCCUCCAAGGCUAAAUACUCCUGACUGACCGAUAGUGAACCAGUACCGUGAGGGAAAGGCGAAAAGAACCCCGGCGAGGGGAGUGAAAAAGAACCUGAAACCGUGUACGUACAAGCAGUGGGAGCCUCUUAAUGGGGUGACUGCGUACCUUUUGUAUAAUGGGUCAGCGACUUAUAUUCUGUAGCAAGGUUAACCGAAUAGGGGAGCCGAAGGGAAACCGAGUCUUAACUGGGCGUUAAGUUGCAGGGUAUAGACCCGAAACCCGGUGAUCUAGCCAUGGGCAGGUUGAAGGUUGGGUAACACUAACUGGAGGACCGAACCGACUAAUGUUGAAAAAUUAGCGGAUGACUUGUGGCUGGGGGUGAAAGGCCAAUCAAACCGGGAGAUAGCUGGUUCUCCCCGAAAGCUAUUUAGGUAGCGCCUCGUGAAUUCAUCUCCGGGGGUAGAGCACUGUUUCGGCAAGGGGGUCAUCCCGACUUACCAACCCGAUGCAAACUGCGAAUACCGGAGAAUGUUAUCACGGGAGACACACGGCGGGUGCUAACGUCCGUCGUGAAGAGGGAAACAACCCAGACCGCCAGCUAAGGUCCCAAAGUCAUGGUUAAGUGGGAAACGAUGUGGGAAGGCCCAGACAGCCAGGAUGUUGGCUUAGAAGCAGCCAUCAUUUAAAGAAAGCGUAAUAGCUCACUGGUCGAGUCGGCCUGCGCGGAAGAUGUAACGGGGCUAAACCAUGCACCGAAGCUGCGGCAGCGACACUAUGUGUUGUUGGGUAGGGGAGCG